CCCUUAGAUGUUCUGGGCCGCACGCGCGCUACACUGACUACUUUAACGAGUUGUUUCCUUGAUCGAAAGGUCUGGGUAAUCUUUGAAAGGUAGUCGUGAUGGGGAUAGAUCCUUGCAAUUUUUGAUCUUCAACGAGGAAUUCCUAGUAAACGCAAGUCAUCAGCUUGCAUUGAUUACGUCCCUGCCCUUUGUACACACCGCCCGUCGCACCUACCGAUUGAAUGGUCCGGUGAAGCCUCCGGAUUGGCGCGCACCUCGGUGCCGCCGAGAAGUUGGCUAAACCUUACCAUUUAGAGGAAGGUGAAGUCGUAACA
rnacentral:rRNA from 1 species